GGCGCCGAGCUGGGAGCGCAGCGGACUCCCGGAAAGCAGCGGCAGCGGCGGGAAGGGGCUCCAAGGAGCAAAGAAUGGCGGCGAGGCGCUGCCGGGAGCAGCAGAAGGCAGCGAGGAGAAGCCGUGAAGCUGCAGAGCGGCGGAGUUGUCUUUUCUCCUUGCCAGGCUUGAAUCUUCCUUCCGCCUUGCUGUGCUGUGGGGAGCAGCUGGAGGCGAUUCUCUUGCAUGAGCGAGGGGUGCAGCCUGGUUCCACCCGGCCCUGAGCUCACGGAAGGGCUGGCUGCCCGCAGGGAAGGAGCUCUGCUUGAGCUCUGCUCCUGGGUGGGCUUUUGUGUGCCCUGUUCCUCAGGAAGGGGUAAGCAGUGCUGGGGUUAUUUGCUAGAUGGAGUGCGUUUGUGUUUCUUGGCUUCCUGAAAGCUGUGUCUGUCUUUUUCACUGCCGGCUGGAGAGACUCGGGGGAGAAAGCGUUGUGCUUGAUGGCACGGUUUCCUUGGGCAAAGGAUGCUUUGGCAGCAGAGGUUUGCUGUCAGGAGGCAUGAAAGCACUGAAGCCAAUGCUGCCGUGCCCUGGGCCCAGAGACAUCAUCUCCCAGCACGUCCCUGGCGGUGGAUGUGUGCAAGCUCUGUGUCUGCCAGUGGUUGCUCCAAAGGCUUUGUGGUCAGCUGUGCGUGGCUGUUUUGCUCUUGAGGGCGUGGGAACAGAGGGCAACACGCUGAUGGGAGUGAUGGUGUCCUGCUCAGCAAUGGAUGUGCUGGGUGGCAGAAGAGGAUUCUUGGCCGAGCGUGGAAAAUCUCUCUGCUCCUUCCUGAAGGUGAGUUUUUCCUGGAUUGCAGGGUGCCCUGGAGGAGGUGACCCCCACUUGACAUCGGUUGGGUAUUUUAAAGCAGCUGAGAUUAAGGAGACAUGACAAAGUUGUGCAAAUGUUCCUGGACGUUCCUAGUUCUUGAAUUGCCUAAAGGAACACAAGCAAUGCAGAGAAAGAAAGAAAGAACGAAAGAAAAAGAACAACAACACCUGACGCAAUCUUCCACUUGGAAAGGGCCUCCCAAGGAUCCCUGGUAUCCUGUGAGAGCUCUGAGCUGCCGCACCAAUUUGAAGCUGACUUCAUUUUUGGUCUUCCCCUUCAGCAGAAAAGCUCAGACAGCUGAGCCAAGCGAGACGCUGGAUUUCCUUUGGCAUCAAGGAAAGCAUCGUGAGAUGUUCUGAUGCCCUCUCACAAUUCUUUCUCCCUCCGCCAGCACCAGAGCUGGCGUCCAAAGACGCAAUGACACUGCCACAGGCAUUGUGGAGAUUUCUAUGGGAUAGGGCCAUGGUAAGGCUUUAUUGACAGAGGGAGGGACAAUGAAGAUUGGAUGUCAGGGAGAAGGUCUUUCCAGAGACGGUGGUGAGAUGCUGGAAGCGGAUGCCCAGAGAGCUUGUGGACGCCGCGUCCGUGGCAGUGUUGAAGGCCAGGUUGGAUUGGGCACUCGGCAGCCUAGUCUAGGAUUAGAUAUGAUGCAGAUGGGAUUCAAGCAUCUGUUUUGCAGCCAGCUCGAGUGGAGCUCUUGGAGCUCAUGGGCGCCCCAUGCCCGCAUCAGCGUGGGUAGUGUGUGCCCUUCCUGCGCGGUGGGGCUUUGGUGUUUGGAGGCUGAUGCUGAGGAGACUGUGUUUCUUCGUUUAUCGGUGGCAGAAAUCCAGCUCUGUCAGCAGAGGACUCCUGCGGCUGGCUGGCCUCAGCCUGAGAUGUUGAUGCUUCCAUCUCCUCAGGUUCUUUCUGCCUGCUCUUCUUAGCCCUGCGCCUGAGAAGUCUGACUGAGUCGCAUGCCAGAAGUGGAAGCCGGGAUGGAGUGCCUUGCGAUGCCUGCGACGGGCUGGACUGAGCCCUUGAGGAAGGUCUGGAAUCGUUGCUGAAAGAUUCGUUGGCUUUGGGCAACUUCAGCACCGCAGCCACACGAUGGGCUUUUUCCGCUUCCCGUUCUUCCUCACGGAAGCUCACGUGUUUGGUUCCCGGGGCUCGGCCCAGGUCUUCUUGGCUGUCUGUUUCUGCCUGGCCCUGCAGCUGGCAGGUCAGCGGCUGCUUUUGGUCUUCAGGCACUCCAGGGAUGGCUGGCAGCAGACUGAAAGGACAGAGCAGGAGGGGUCCGCCUGAGUGGGUGAUGGCUUUGGGGCCGCAUCCUGCAAGCCGGAGCCAGGACCCUUGGCUGCAACGCAGCCUUCCCCACAGACAGCUCACCGGCUGCCUUGUGGCUCUCCCCCGUGGGAUCCAGAGAGGGGCCAGCCCUGUGAGCUGGGGGGCUCUGGCGUCCCCAUCCCAGCACUAUUGGGCAGCCAGAAACAGGGACCCUUUGGGGCUAGGGAAUGGGCUCUCGUUGGCUCAGUCAAUCACCCCCAUGCACAUGCCAAGCCAGAGCCUCCAGCCUCACCUGGACGUAGAGCUCUCCUUGCGCAGUAAGCUCCUUAUCCUUCGGAGUUUUCCUCCAUCUAGACUGUCCGAGCUCAAGCGUUUGAUGUAGGUUGGCUUGCCAGCAAAUCUCACUGGGAUUGGGAAGGCAGAGGAGACUCACCGUCAACCCUUUGGCUCACUCACCAGGGGCGCUCAGGCCUGUUCCCAGAACAUGCGAGAGGGCCGCUCUGCUCCCCCCACUGCUGACAUCUGUGCCGCCCGCGGACCCUCCCUGAAACCAUCUCUGGCCCCACUUCUCCUCUCUGCCAUCUUGGGACUCUCUUUUGGGAGUGCAUUAGUGACGGUGGCUUUGGGAAAGCGGAGCUGGGUGGUGACGAUGAGCUGACAGGGUGACUUUUGGGGACCAUAUCCUUUUGUUGGGGGAGGGCGGGGCCUAAGGUGCCGAGGUGCUCCUGCCAUAGCCAGGGAUGGGGGCACGUCACAGCCAGCGCCUUGGUUUUGGAGAGGCCAACAAUUCCUCGUGGGAAGAGGCCGUGCUGAGCUGGCGUGAAGCUUUGACGGAUGCCUCCUGAGGACCUGCGGGAUAUCCCAGGUGGUGGUUUGGGUACAAACUCCAUUUGAAACCUGUACGCGAGGAGACGACAGUGAGCGGUGGGACGCAGCGCUCCACCAAUCCUUGUUGCUCUCUCUGAUUGCCUGCUGACAGGCCCAUUUUCAUGCUGCAUGAUGGCCACUGCUUUCUAAAGGCUUCAGCAGGGCCAGGCUGAGAGCAACCUGAUGUGGCGGUAGGUGUCCCUGUUCCCUGCAGGGGAGUGGGACUAGGUGCCCUUUCCGGGUUCCUUCCAGCUCAAAUGAUGCGAUGAUUCUAUGCCAUAUCCUCGUGGGCAGGGCAGGGACACCCAUGGUCACCAGGAACAAAUGCUACGGCAUGAGAGCUGAGCAGCUGCAGCAAGCAGCAGCUACAGCCCCCAACAUACUCACUUGGGAAAGACGACGAGGCAGCCAGAGAGUGCCAGGGAGGCCACCGGUGCCGCUCGGGACACCACCAUGUCCAGCAGCCAGGGGGCCUGCAGGGGAGGAACAGGGAGGAUGUGGGACGUCCUUGUGACGGCUGAGGCACUGGGCGCACAAGGAGCCCAAGGCAGGGAGGGCUGACGGCACCGCAGCACUUGCACGGCGCGAGCAGCUGGCCAGGUGCUGGUGGUAGAAAGCUACAGCUCACCUUGAGAAGAGCUUUCCUGAACUUCUCUUUCCCUGACAGCUUCUCAAGGAAGUCAUAAUAGAAUUUCAUGUGGAAGGUCAGUCCAUCGAUGUGGAGCACUCCAAUGUCCUUGAAGACAACGGCAACGUUCUCCCCAUUCUUCAGGCAGCCAGAGAGCAGGGACACGGUGCUUUGGAUGCAAGCCUGCGCUGUCUGCCAGGUCACAGAGGCAGCUGCGGCCACCUCGCUGCUCUUGAGCGGCUCCAGCUUCCUAUGGGCUGAAAAAUGGGAGGGACGGAGUUGAUGAUACGGUUGGUUUUCCGCAGUGCUUCCCUGGAACUGCUUCUUGUGGCCAUCAGCCAGAACGGCCCCAUGUUUGGCUGGGCUCCUCCGAGGGGGAGGUUUGCUUUGGAGAAUGGAGGCGGUGGCCCUGUUGGCCCUGUGCGUGAAGCCAGCAAAGCUUUAAUCCUCCCUCCUACCUGGCAGGGACUCCCUGCGGGGCUUGAGGUGGUGCACGGCUAUGAGGUUUCCAGACAAGUGAAAGACGGGCCAACGCAGAGUCACGGUCCCGUCCUCAGUCCUGAUGUCUCUGGAGAUGGUGUCAAAGGAUCCGAAGCACAGCAGUCAGGGCAGAAGCAGCCUGAUGGGAUCCAGAGGCUUCCCGCGAGCGGGAUCAGCCCUGAGACAGGACAGCGCCCAGCACAAGUGAUCCUGCGGGAUUUGCAGGAAGCCCAUGGCAUGCCCAGUAGAGACACGUGGGGAGGUGCUCUUGUACGUAGGCGGCCACCGCAUCCCAGACGGCAACUCGCUCUGGAGGGCAAAGGAAAAGCGGGUCACACUCUGCACCUGCCGCUUCCCGGCAGCCCUCCCGCUGCCAGGCGGGAGUGAGGUGGCAGAUGGAAAGUGUCGUCUGCGUGCCAGGAUUGGCUGCAGCAGCGCUCCUGUGGUGGCUGUGGAGCCAUGUACCU